rnacentral:rRNA from 1 species
GAUGAACGCUAGCUACAGGCUUAACACAUGCAAGUCGAGGGACCGGCGCACGGGUGAGUAACACGUAUACAACCUGCCCUUUACUCGGGGAUAGCCUUUCGAAAGAAAGAUUAAUACCCGAUAUAAAGGAUGGGGAUGCGUUCCAUUAGGUGGUUGGUGAGGUAACGGCCCACCAAGCCUUCGAUGGAUAGGGGUGAUGAGAGGAAGGUCCCCCACAUUGGAACUGAGACACGGUCCAAAACCCUACGGGAGGCAGGAGUGAGGAAUAUUGGUCAAUGAGCGCUAGCCUGAACCAGCCAAGUAGCGUGAGGGAUGAAGGCUUAUGGGUCUUAAACUUCUUUUAUAUAAGAAUAGGUAUUAUAUGAAUAAGGAUCGGCUAACUACGUGCCAGCAGCCGCGGUAAUAC